UACGUAGGGUCCGAGCGUUGUCCGGAGUUACUGGGCGUAAAGGGCGCGUAGGCGGCAUGACAAGUCACUUGUGAAAUCUCUGAGCUUAACUCAGAACGGCCAAGUGAUACUGUCGCGCUAGAGUGCAGAAAGGGCAAUCGGAAUUCUUGGUGUAGCGGUGAAAUGCGUAGAUAUCAAGAGGAACACCUGAGGCGAAGGCGGGUUGCUAGGCUGACACUGACGCUGAGGCGCGAAAGCCAGGGGAGCAAACGGG
rnacentral:rRNA from 1 species